rnacentral:rRNA from 1 species
CCAAAAGCUGGCGACCGGCGCACGGGUGAGUAACACGUAUCCAACCUGCCUCAUACUCGGGGAUAGCCUUUCGAAAGAAAGAUUAAUAUCCGAUAGCAUAUAUUUCCCGCAUGGGUUUUAUAUUAAAGAAAUUCGGUAUGAGAUGGGGAUGCGUUCCAUUAGUUUGUUGGGGGGUAACGGCCCACCUAGUCUUCGAUGGAUAGGGGUUCUGAGAGGAAGGUCCCCCACAUUGGAACUGAGACACGGUCCAA